GGGAAAACAGGAAGGAUUUAUAUUAUAAACAUGUUACUGUCCAGCUGCUCAUUUUCCUGGCUGGUCUGAUGUUACAGUUUUACUUGAUUCUCUGACGUGGUGGAAAAGAAAGACAAUUGGCUUAAAUUAUCCAGCUCCAUGGAAGCUGCUACACGAGCACGUAAGAAGCCAGGCUCAUACACCAAGGAAAUGCUCCUUGCUGUUCCCCAUCAGAACAGAUCCUACCAGAGCUGGGAGACUUUCUGGAGGAGGACAAGGGUUGCUGCCUCCGGUGUCAUUCCUAACUUCAGGCCAAGUGUUGGGACGGGCAGCACUCAGCUGUCCUGCCUAAAGCGCCAGGUGUCUGCCUGGCAGGAAGAGUCGGAAUAGGAAACCCGACAGAAAAAAACAAAUGGACUGGGACGCACAUGAGCUGAGGGCAUCACUCCCGUCACACUCAUGCAAAGAGUCCGGGGUAAGGAAAGCAGCCGAGUGCCCACAACACAGUAUGUUCUUUUCUUCCGCAAACAGCGUGGAACAGGCAGACCUGUGUGUGGACUGCUGGGGCUGACAUUGAAGUGACCUCUGAAAGCAAACACCCCAAACUGUUAUGUAAACUGCAAUGACUAGACAUUCCCGGCCACCGCAGCACAGAGAGGGCUGUGUUGACAGCCUGGCACCUGGAGGUGGUGAGCCCUUCAGAAGAGAAAGGGCAAGCAAGCAAAUCCUGCCUGACUUUUCAGUGAGGGUUGGGUGAAAUUCUGAGCUUGACUGGAGAUGCUCUGGCCCUGGACUCUCGGGCUCCGACAACGACCCUACACCCUUGACAGAUGACACACGAGGCAGAGGGGAUGAGCAAACAAAAGCAUGAAGAGCUUAAGCAACCUGCCCUAGUCCUGGAACCAGUAGGAGCAUAGUAGGGAUUCCAACACAGGUUGCCUGAGCCCAAAGGCCUUAUUCUUAACAUUAUCGGAUGAUAUCAGAAAUGGAGCAGGCUGAGAAGAUGCGAGAGCCACUUAGCCCAGAGAGAUAGUAAGUUUUGAUAUUUAUUUGACUCAUUUGGAAUAAAUGGAGUCUGUGAGAGGCUAAAACUUGGCCCCUAAAAGUCAUCCACAUCCUAACUCCUGGAGCCUAGAAAUGACCAAAACUGAAGGAAGGGAAGGGAAAAUAAGGGAGGGAAGGAAAAAUAAGGGUGAGAAGGGGGGGUCCUUUGCAGAUGUGAUUAAUUUGAGGAUCUUGGAUUAGAUAAAUAGUUCUGGAUUUAUCAGGGUGGAACCUAAAUGCAAUUGCAAAUGUCCACAUAAGAGUGGACAAGGGAGAGCUGACCAACAGAGAUGUAAUGACAGGGCAGAGAGAGGUGAAGACUGUCUUAAUUCAGGCUGGUAGGACAAAGUACCAUGGACUGGGUGCCUUACAAACAACAGAAGUUUGUUCUCUCGAUUCUGGUGCCUAGCAGUCUAGAGCAACACGGGUGGGUUGUUAUUAAAGCCCUCUUCCUAGUGAUAGCUGGUUACCUUCUUCUUGUAUCUUCACAUGGUAGAGAGCAGAGAGGGAGAGGAAAGGAGUGGUUCCGAGUCUUUUCAUAAAGCACUAAUUCAUUACAAGCCCCCCCCCAUGAGCUAAAUGCCCCACCUCCUAACACCCCCAGACUUCCUAGCAAAGAUGCCGGCCUUGAGACUUGGUGUGACACAGCCACAAACCAAGGCACACCAGUUGCCACCAGAAGCUGGAACAGGUCAGGAACAAGACUGUCCCCAAGAGCUUUGCGGGGAAGCAUGGGCCUCCCCUGACUUCAGAUGUCUGGCCUCCAGAGGAAUCAGAGACAAUUUCUACUGUUUAAAGCCACCAAAUUUGAGGUAAUUUUUUUUAUAGAAGAUGCAGAAAGCUGGUGCAGAAUCCAUAACAUGACUUUGCUACCAGGGGUGUGCACCUGGGGAGGCUCCCCCUCCCCACACACUGCCCGUCCCCACGCCCAGCCCAGUCACCAAGAAGCACAGCGCCUCAUUUCUUAGCACCUUCUCUACUGUACAAUCUCUCAAUAAAGAAUCUGAAAAGAGAAACCAGAAAAUUAAGAGAUUCAACACUAUAACAAAUGACUAGGGCUAUUUUUUUUAAUUAUGACUAAAACAAAAAAAAUUUUUCUGGGGCUCAAAAUGUUUCUAAGCUCAGGACUUUUGUGAAAGCCAAAGUAAACAAUGUUUUAACUUUGCUUCCAAAAUGUUACUGGAUCCACAGAGAUCUGCUGUCUUCACUUUUGUAAUACAAUAAAUAAAUGAUAGUCAACAACUGCUCUAAAAUAGCUAAAGAGUCAUAUUUCAUGAAAUUAGAAACCUUGUGCU